GAAAUGCGAUAAGUAAUGUGAAUUGCAGAAUUCAGUGAAUCAUCGAAUCUUUGAACGCACAUUGCGCCCGCCAGCACUCUGGCGGGCAUGCCUUUUCGAGCGUCAUUUCAACCCUCAGAACCCCUUGCGGGAUCUGGCGUUGGGGAUUGGCAUCCAGCCAGCCCCGAAAUCUAGUGGCGGUCCCUCCGCGACCUCCCCUGUGCAGUAGCGAUACCUCGCAGCGGGACAGCGGUCUGACCACGCCGUAAAACCCCCAACUUCUCAAGGUUGACCUCGAAUCAGGUAGGAAUACCCGCUGAACUUAAGC
rnacentral:misc_RNA from 1 species